ensembl:snRNA U6 U6 spliceosomal RNA
GUGCUUCCUUCGGCAACACAUAUGCAGAAAUUGGAACAACACACAGAAAAUUAGGAUGGCCCCUGAGCAAGGAUGACAUGCAAAAUCAUGAAACGUUCUAUAUUUUU